GGGUAGUUAGCUCAGCUGGUAGAGCAUCGCCCUUACAAGGCGAGGGUCGGGGGUUCGAUCCCCUCACUACCCA
rfam:Wohlfahrtiimonas chitiniclastica SH04 genomic scaffold scaffold_00005, whole genome shotgun sequence.